rnacentral:rRNA from 1 species
AUUGAACGCUGGCGGCAGGCCUAACACAUGCAAGUCGAACGGUAACAGGAAGCAGCUUGCUGCUUCGCUGACGAGUGGCGGACGGGUGAGUAAUGUCUGGGAAGCUGCCUGAUGGAGGGGGAUAACUACUGGAAACGGUAGCUAAUACCGCAUAAUGUCGCAAGACCAAAGAGGGGGACCUUCGGGCCUCUUGCCAUCGGAUGUGCCCAGAUGGGAUUAGCUUGUUGGUGGGGUAACGGCACACCAAGGCGACGAUUCCUAGCUGGUCUGAGAGGAUGACCAGCCACACUGGAACUGAGACACGGUCCAGACUCCUACGGGAGGCAGCAGUGGGGAAUAUUGCACAAUGGGCGCAAGCCUGAUGCAGCCAUGCCGCGUGUAUGAAGAAGGCCUUCGGGUUGUAAAGUACUUUCAGCGGGGAGGAAGGGAGUAAAGUUAAUACCUUUGCUCAUUGACGUUACCCGCAGAAGAAGCACCGGCUAACUCCGU